AGAGUUUGAUCAUGGCUCAGAUUGAACGCUGGCGGCAGGCCUAACACAUGCAAGUCGAACGGUAACAGGAAGCAGCUUGCUGCUUUGCUGACGAGUGGCGGACGGGUGAGUAAUGUCUGGGAAACUGCCUGAUGGAGGGGGAUAACUACUGGAAACGGUGGCUAAUACCGCAUAACGUCGCAAGACCAAAGAGGGGGACCUUCGGGCCUCUUGCCAUCAGAUGUGCCCAGAUGGGAUUAGCUAGUUGGUGAGGUAACGGCUCACCAAGGCGACGAUCCCUAGCUGGUCUGAGAGGAUGACCAGCCACACUGGAACUGAGACACGGUCCAGACUCCUACGGGAGGCAGCAGUGGGGAAUAUUGCACAAUGGGCGCAAGCCUGAUGCAGCCAUGCCGCGUGUAUGAAGAAGGCCUUCGGGUUGUAAAGUACUUUCAGCGGGGAGGAAGGUGUUGUGGUUAAUAACCACAGCAAUUGACGUUACCCGCAGAAGAAGCACCGGCUAACUCCGUGCCAGCAGCCGCGGUAAUACGGAGGGUGCAAGCGUUAAUCGGAAUUACUGGGCGUAAAGCGCACGCAGGCGGUCUGUCAAGUCGGAUGUGAAAUCCCCGGGCUCAACCUGGGAACUGCAUUCGAAACUGGCAGGCUUGAGUCUUGUAGAGGGGGGUAGAAUUCCAGGUGUAGCGGUGAAAUGCGUAGAGAUCUGGAGGAAUACCGGUGGCGAAGGCGGCCCCCUGGACAAAGACUGACGCUCAGGUGCGAAAGCGUGGGGAGCAAACAGGAUUAGAUACCCUGGUAGUCCACGCCGUAAACGAUGUCUACUUGGAGGUUGUGCCCUUGAGGCGUGGCUUCCGGAGCUAACGCGUUAAGUAGACCGCCUGGGGAGUACGGCCGCAAGGUUAAAACUCAAAUGAAUUGACGGGGGCCCGCACAAGCGGUGGAGCAUGUGGUUUAAUUCGAUGCAACGCGAAGAACCUUACCUGGUCUUGACAUCCACGGAAGUUUUCAGAGAUGAGAAUGUGCCUUCGGGAACCGUGAGACAGGUGCUGCAUGGCUGUCGUCAGCUCGUGUUGUGAAAUGUUGGGUUAAGUCCCGCAACGAGCGCAACCCUUAUCCUUUGUUGCCAGCGGUUAGGCCGGGAACUCAAAGGAGACUGCCAGUGAUAAACUGGGAGGAAGGUGGGGAUGACGUCAAGUCAUCAUGGCCCUUACGACCAGGGCUACACACGUGCUACAAUGGCGCAUACAAAGAGAAGCGACCUCGCGAGAGCAAGCGGACCUCAUAAAGUGCGUCGUAGUCCGGAUUGGAGUCUGCAACUCGACUCCAUGAAGUCGGAAUCGCUAGUAAUCGUGGAUCAGAAUGCCACGGUGAAUACGUUCCCGGGCCUUGUACACACCGCCCGUCACACCAUGGGAGUGGGUUGCAAAAGAAGUAGGUAGCUUAACCUUCGGGAGGGCGCUUACCACUUUGUGAUUCAUGACUGGGGUGAAGUCGUAACAAGGUAACCGUAGGGGAACCUGCGGUUGGAUCACCU
rnacentral:rRNA from 1 species